UAAUGUUUAAUUUGUAAGUUGCUCUGGAUAAGAGCGUCUGCUAAAUGACUUAAA
rfam:Salmo salar isolate Sally breed double haploid chromosome ssa01, whole genome shotgun sequence.